GAUGAACGCUGGCUACAGGCUUAACACAUGCAAGUCGAGGAGAAACGGCAUUGGGUGCUUGCACUGAAUGGACGUCGACCGGCGCACGGGUGAGUAACGCGUAUCCAACCUUCCCGUUACUGCGGGAUAACCUGCCGAAAGGCAGACUAAUACCGCAUGUUCUUCGAUGACGGCAUCAGAUUCGAAGCAAAGAUUCUUCGGUAACGGAGGGGGAUGCGUCUGAUUAGCUGGUUGGCGGGGCGACGGCCCACCAAGGCGACGAUCAGUAGGGGUUCUGAGAGGAAGGUCCCCCACAUUGGAACUGAGACACGGUCCAAACUCCUACGGGAGGCAGCAGUGAGGAAUAUUGGUCAAUGGGCGGAAGCCUGAACCAGCCAAGUAGCGUGCAGGAGGACGGCCCUACGGGUUGUAAACUGCUUUUGUGCGGGGAUAAAGUGAGGGACGCGUCCCUUUUUGCAGGUACCGCAUGAAUAAGGACCGGCUAAUUCCGUGCCAGCAGCCGCGGUAAUACGGAAGGUCCGGGCGUUAUCCGGAUUUAUUGGGUUUAAAGGGAGCGUAGGCCGGGGAUUAAGUGUGUUGUGAAAUGUAGGCGCCCAACGUCUGACUUGCAGCGCAUACUGGUUCCCUUGAGUACGCGCAACGCCGGCGGAAUUCGUCGUGUAGCGGUGAAAUGCUUAGAUAUGACGAAGAACCCCGAUUGCGAAGGCAGCCGGCGGGAGCGCAACUGACGCUGAAGCUCGAAGGUGCGGGUAUCGAACAGG
rnacentral:rRNA from 1 species